rnacentral:rRNA from 1 species
CCUACGGGUGGCAGCAGUGGGGAAUAUUGGACAAUGGGCGAAAGCCUGAUCCAGCCAUGCCGCGUGUGUGAAGAAGGUCUUCGGAUUGUAAAGCACUUUAAGUCGGGAGGAAGGGCCGCAGGCUAAUAUCCUGGGGUUUUGACGUUACCGACAGAAUAAGCACCGGCUAACUUCGUGCCAGCAGCCGCGGUAAUACGAAGGGUGCAAGCGUUAAUCGGAAUUACUGGGCGUAAAGCGCGCGUAGGUGGCUGGGUAAGUUGGAUGUGAAAGCCCCGGGCUCAACCUGGGAACUGCAUCCAAAACUGCCUGGCUAGAGUACGGUAGAGGGUGGUGGAAUUUCCUGUGUAGCGGUGAAAUGCGUAGAUAUAGGAAGGAACACCAGUGGCGAAGGCGACCACCUGGACCGAUACUGACACUGAGGUGCGAAAGCGUGGGGAGCA